rnacentral:rRNA from 1 species
GGGGAAUAUUGGGCAAUGGGGGAAACCCUGACCCAGCAACGCCGCGUGAAGGAAGAAGGCCUUCGGGUUGUAAACUUCUUUGAUCAGGGAAGAAACAAAUGACGGUACCUGAAAAACAAGCCACGGCUAACUACGUGCCAGCAGCCGCGGUAAUACGUAGGUGGCAAGCGUUAUCCGGAUUUACUGGGUGUAAAGGGCGUGUAGGCGGUCUCAUAAGUCAGAUGUGAAAUUCCCGGGCUUAACCCGGGCGCUGCAUCUGAAACUGUGGGACUUGAGUACUGGAGAGGAUAGUGGAAUUCCUAGUGUAGCGGUAAAAUGCGUAGAUAUUAGGAGGAACACCGGUGGCGAAGGCGACUAUCUGGACAGUAACUGACGCUGAGGCGCGAAAGCGUGGGGAGCAAAC